CCUACGGGAGGCAGCAGUGGGGGAUUUUGCACAAUGGGGGGAACCCUGAUGCAGCGACGCCGCGUGGGUGAAGGAGUGCUUCGGCAUGUAAAGCCCUAUCGGCAGGGAAGAAGCAAGACGGUACCUGACUAAGAAGUCCCGGCUAACUACGUGCCAGCAGCCGCGGGAAUACGUAGGGGGCGAGCGUUAUCCGGAUGCACUGGGCGGAAGGGGAGCGUAGACGGCCAUGCAAGCCAGGGGUGAAGGCCCGGGGCCCAACCCCGGGACUGGCCUUGGAACUGAAUGGCUUGAGUGCGGGAGGGGCAGGCGGAAGUCCUGGUGUAGCGGUGAAAUGCGUAGAUAUCAGGAGGAACACCGGCGGCGAAGGCGGCCUGCUGGACCGCGACUGACGUUGAGGUUCGAAAGCGUGGGGAGCGAACAGGAUUAGAUACCCCUGUAGUC
rnacentral:rRNA from 1 species